rnacentral:rRNA from 1 species
GAUGAACGCUGGCGGCGUGCCUAAUACAUGCAAGUCGAGCGAACAGACGAGGAGCUUGCUCCUCUGACGUUAGCGGCGGACGGGUGAGUAACACGUGGAUAACCUACCUAUAAGACUGGGAUAACUUCGGGAAACCGGAGCUAAUACCGGAUAAUAUAUUGAACCGCAUGGUUCAAUAGUGAAAGACGGUUUUGCUGUCACUUAUAGAUGGAUCCGCGCCGCUUUAGCUAGUUGGUAAGGUAACGGCUUACCAAGGCAACGAUGCGUAGCCGACCUGAGAAGGAGAACGGCCGCUCUGGAUCUGGGGCACGGUCCAGACUCCUAAGGGGGGCAGCAGUAGGGAAUCUUCAGCAAUGGGCGAAAGCCUGACGGAGCAACGCCGCGUGAGUGAUGAAGGUCUUCGGAUCGUAAAACUCUGUUAUUAGGGUAGAACAAAUGUGUAAGUGACUAUGCACGUCUUGACGGUACCUAAACAGAAAGCCACGGCUAACUACGAG